rnacentral:rRNA from 1 species
GUAGGUGGCAAGCGUUGUCCGGGAAUUAUUGGGGCGUAAAGCGCGCGCAGGCGGUUCUUUAAGUCUGAUGUGAAAGCCCACGGGCUCAACCGUGGAGGGUCAUUGGAAACUGGAGAACUUGAGUACAGAAGAGGAAAGCGGAAUUCCACGUGUAGCGGUGAAAUGCGUAGAGAUGUGGAGGAACACCAGUGGCGAAGGCAGCUUUCUGGUCUGUAACUGACGCUGAGGCGCGAAAGCGUGGGGAGCAAACAGGAUUAGAUACCCUGGUAGUCCACGCCGUAAACGAUGAGUGCUAAGUGUUAGGGGGUUUCCGCCCCUUAGUGCUGCAGCUAACGCAUUAAGCACUCCGCCUGGGGAGUACGGCCGCAAAGGCUGA